rnacentral:rRNA from 1 species
AGCAGCCGCGGUAAUUCCAGCUCCAAUAGCGUAUAUUAAAGUUGUUGCAGUUAAAAAGCUCGUAGUUGAAUUUCGGAAUCGACGGAUUGGUCGCGCCUUCGGUGUGUACUGGUCUUGCCGGUUUCUCCCUUCUGACGAACCACGAUGUCAUUAAUUUGGUGUCGUGGGGAAUCAGGACUGUUACUUUGAAAAAAUUAGAGUGUUUAAAGCAGGCAUUAGCUUGAAUACAUUAGCAUGGAAUAAUGAAAUAGGACGUUUGAUCUUAUUUUGUUGGUUUCUAGGAUCGACGUAAUGAUUAAUAGGGAUAGUUGGGGGCAUUAGUAUUCAAUUGUCAGAGGUGAAAUUCUUGGAUUUAUUGAAGACUAACUACUGCGAAAGCAUUUGCCAAGGAUGUUUUCAUUAAUCAAGAACGAAAGUUAGGGGAUCGAAGACGAUCAGAUACCGUCGUAGUCUUAACCAUAAACUAUGCCGACUAGGGAUCGGAUGAUGUUAAUUUUUUUAAUGACUCA